rnacentral:rRNA from 1 species
GACGAACGCUGGCGGCGUGCUUAACACAUGCAGGUCGAACGGAAAGGCCCUGCUUUUGUGGGGUGCUCGAGUGGCGAACGGGUGAGUAACACGUGAGUAACCUGCCCUUGACUUUGGGAUAACUUCAGGAAACUGGGGCUAAUACCGGAUAGGAGCUCCUGCUGCAUGGUGGGGGUUGGAAAGUUUCGGCGGUUGGGGAUGGACUCGCGGCUUAUCAGCUUGUUGGUGGGGUAGUGGCUUACCAAGGCUUUGACGGGUAGCCGGCCCGAGAGGGUGACCGGCCACAUUGGGACUGAGAUACGGCCCAGACUCCUACGGGAGGCAGCAGUGGGGAAUAUUGCACAAUGGGCGGAAGCCUGAUGCAGCAACGCCGCGUGCGGGAUCACGGCCUUCGGGUUGUAAACCGCUUUCGCCUGUGACGAAGCGUGAGUGACGGUAAUGGGUAAAGAAGCACCGGCUAACUACGUG